CUGCGGCAGCGACACUAUGUGUUGUUGGGUAGGGGAGCGUUCUGUAAGCCUGUGAAGGUGUGUCGUGAGGCAUGCUGGAGGUAUCAGAAGUGCGAAUGCUGACAUAAGUAACGAUAAAGCGGGUGAAAAGCCCGCUCGCCGGAAGACCAAGGGUUCCUGUCCAACGUUAAUCGGGGCAGGGUGAGUCGACCCCUAAGGCGAGGCCGAAAGGCGUAGUCGAUGGGAAACGGGUUAAUAUUCCCGUACUUGGUGUUACUGCGAAGGGGGGACGGAGAAGGCUAUGUUGGCCGGGCGACGGUUGUCCCGGUUUAAGCGUGUAGGUGUGUGUUCCAGGUAAAUCCGGUUCACUUUAACACUGAGGCGUGACGACGAGGCACUACGGUGCUGAAGCAACAAAUGCCCUGCUUCCAGGAAAAGCCUCUAAGCAUCAGGUAACAUCAAAUCGUACCCCAAACCGACACAGGUGGUCAGGUAGAGAAUACCAAGGCGCUUGAGAGAACUCGGGUGAAGGAACUAGGCAAAAUGGUGCCGUAACUUCGGGAGAAGGCACGCUGACACGUAGGUGAAGUGAUUUACUCAUGGAGCUGAAGUCAGUCGAAGAUACCAGCUGGCUGCAACUGUUUAUUAAAAACACAGCACUGUGCAAACACGAAAGUGGACGUAUACGGUGUGACGCCUGCCCGGUGCCGGAAGGUUAAUUGAUGGGGUCAGCGCAAGCGAAGCUCCUGAUCGAAGCCCCGGUAAACGGCGGCCGUAACUAUAACGGUCCUAAGGUAGCGAAAUUCCUUGUCGGGUAAGUUCCGACCUGCACGAAUGGCGUAAUGAUGGCCAGGCUGUCUCCACCCGAGACUCAGUGAAAUUGAACUCGCUGUGAAGAUGCAGUGUACCCGCGGCAAGACGGAAAGACCCCGUGAACCUUUACUAUAGCUUGACACUGAACAUUGAGCCUUGAUGUGUAGGAUAGGUGGGAGGCUUUGAAGUGUGGACGCCAGUCUGC
rnacentral:rRNA from 1 species